rnacentral:rRNA from 1 species
UCCAGACUCCUACGGGAGGCAGCAGUGGGGAAUAUUGGGCAAUGGGCGCAAGCCUGACCCAGCAACGCCGCGUGAAGGAAGAAGGCUUUCGGGUUGUAAACUUCUUUUAUGAGGGACGAAAGAAAUGACGGUACCUCAUGAAUAAGCCACGGCUAACUACGUGCCAGCAGCCGCGGUAAUACGUAGGUGGCAAGCGUUAUCCGGAUUUACUGGGUGUAAAGGGCGUGUAGGCGGGACUGCAAGUCAGAUGUGAAGAUUAUGGGCUCAACCCAUAACCUGCAUUUGAAACUGUAGUUCUUGAGUGAUGGAGAGGCAGGCGGAAUUCCGUGUGUAGCGGUGAAAUGCGUAGAUAUACGGAGGAACACCAGUGGCGAAGGCGGCCUGCUGGACAUUAACUGACGCUGAGGCGUGAAAGCGUGGGGAGCAAACAGGAUUAGAUACCCCAGUACA